GGUCGCGGCACAACACCAGGGCCCAGGCGAGGCCGCACGCCGGCGCCUCCACCGCUACCACCCCUGCCCCCAUGCCCCCUUCCUCUCUCUCUCUCUCUUCCUCUCAACGUGGCGGCGCAGUGGGAGAUCCCGAUGGUGGCAAUAUCCGGGGCGACGACGCCCUAGAUGUGCGCAGCAGCAGCAUGAGAAGGCCCCAGCACGCAUGGCCUCUUCAUCUCCAGUGGCGGCGACGACUCAGCUCAGCGGCUGGAUAGACAAUGGGACUGCAGUUGUGAAUGAAUUUCAAGAACAUCACUACCAAUCCACCAAGCAGCAGGAUGGCGAUGUCUUGUUCUUUGAGUCUUAUCGAGAACAGUGGAUCGUGCAAGUCCAUCCCUGUGAGGCCUGCACUGGUUGCCAGUUCCUACCUCAUACCUGAAUGGUCUCGUCUCAAACCCAUUGUACCAAGCAAGAGCAGCAUGACGUAACUGAUUUCCUCCCAAAAGAGCUCAGCCCAUGCUCGUGAGACAAUCCUAAAGUGGUUGCAUUCAGCUUCCAGUUUAGGACAGAAAGAUUGUUACAAAAUCUCCAGACUACUCUCACACUUGAAAAUAAAUUUGAAGAAGUGGCAUCAUACAUGUUGAGGACUAAUGAUCUUGGUGCUUCGACAAUGAUGAAUGUUUUUGCAUAAAUUCUUAAAAUAGAAUAAAAGGUGAUGGAUGAUCCAUGAUCAAUGAUGUAAUGCCAAUGGCAUCAGACUGGGAACCAUAUGUGCUAUGAUCAGAUUCAUCCACCUAUGAUGCAGUGUCUUUUGCUACCAACUUCUAACAACCAUCGAUCACAUCCACCCGUGCAAAAUUGAAGACAUGCAUCUGUAUAUAUCCCUAAGUAUAUGUUGUAUGCAUGUGCUAUGUAUAUGACCAUCAGCUGCUAUAAUGCAUCAUUAGUAUCGCUAUUGUAUGCCUCAGACCCUAUGUUUCCACCAAAUUGUAAAUAUAAAUUUAUGAUUACCUAUGCAAAUAACCAUAUCCAUGACAUGUGUACCUAAACUUA